rnacentral:misc_RNA from 1 species
AGUGAGGAAGAACUUAAGCAGCCAUUUUGCCAAGGUUGGGGGCAAAAAAUCCUCACAACGAGGCCAAUAUAAUAACAUAUGUUUAGAAUUUUAGGCAAUAUAAAAACCUUGCAUCACACAGGUUAACAAUAUGCUAACACCUUUUGUUUUGAUAAAAAUUUCUCACAGACCGUUCUUGUUUAACAUUGCAAUGCAAUCUAAAUGACCAAUGGAAGUUUUUAAGAGGUUAAUGUUAAAAAGUAGAAACUUUUGCUGAACUUACAAUUGUAGAUUGACCAUGAACCUUCAAAAUUUAGCAACAAUGGACCAUGACCCUUCAAAAUUGACAGUUAAUUAUCAACUGAAGACUAAAA